rnacentral:rRNA from 1 species
CUACGUAGGGGGCGAGCGUUGUCCGGAAUGAUUGGGCGUAAAGGGCGCGUAGGCGGCCCGGUAAGUCUGGAGUGAAAGUCCUGUUUUUAAGAUGGGAAUUGCUUUGGAUACUGUCGGGCUUGAGUGCAGGUGAGGUAAGUGGAAUUCCCAGUGUAGCGGUGAAAUGCGUAGAGAUUGGGAGGAACACCAGUGGCGAAGGCGACUUACUGGACUGUAACUGACGCUGAGGCGCGAAAGUGUGGGGAGCAAACAGGAUUAGAUACCCUGGUAGUCCACACUGUAAACGAUGAAUGCUAGGUGUAGGGGGUAUCGACCCCUUCUGUGCCGCAGUCAACACAAUAAGCAUUCCGCCUGGGGAGUACGGCCGCAAGGUUGAAACUCAAAUGAAUUGACGGGG